AAAAGGGAUGCAUGGAAAAACUGGCUUUUAUUCCAACAGGAAAAAAUGGGAACUCUAACUCUCCAUGUCUUGUCUGGAUGCCUCCUGAAUGAACGAUGAGAAGAUGUCAGAGUGGGAAAGAGAGGGACAGGAGAGGUGGCCCUUCACCUUCUAAAUGAUCCAUUAAGCUGAUCUGGAUGGAUCUGCAGUGAUGUGAUGGAGGCUAACAUGUUCAGAGAAGAUAAAACACACACUUCCGUAAGCAGAUUUUGUGCACUCAGUAUGAAAUAAACACAUUCAGUCGUCGUAACUAUGCUACACAGUCAAGAUCACUGUUGGUGAUGCAGAGACCAAGGAAGAGAGGCAAGAGCUGAAGUCUACUGACACCUAUGCAGAGCAGCUGCCAGAGAGACUUGGUGGUCUCAAGGACGAAGUAUGUGCUAUUUGCAGAAGAGGCAUUUGGUGAAUUUUGUUUAGGAUGAAGAGAGAGUAUCCAGCCACAGGUCGAAGGACGGCAUGGCGGAGGCUGGGGUACCAAGCAGACCAAGCUUUGAAGCAGGUACCUGGAAAGUGGGAAGAAGACAUCAUGAGGUGCUCUGCUCUGAAGAAGGGUGCCCUUGAAUACUGGAUAUAACUUUGCAUGAGUCAGGUUUUAAAUGUCCCUGAUGGAAAAUAUUUGCAAGCAUACUUUGUGAAUGCUAUAUUAAUAGAU
rnacentral:lncRNA from 1 species